UACGUAGGGUGCAAGCGUUGUCCGGAAUUAUUGGGCGUAAAGAGCUCGUAGGCGGUUUGUCGCGUCUGCUGUGAAAACUCGGGGCUUAACCCCGGGCCUGCAGUGGGUACGGGCAGACUAGAGUGCGGUAGGGGAGACUGGAAUUCCUGGUGUAGCGGUGAAAUGCGCAGAUAUCAGGAGGAACACCGGUGGCGAAGGCGACAUCCUGGACCGGUAUUGACGCUGAGGCGCGAAAGCGUGGGGAGCAAACAGG
rnacentral:rRNA from 1 species